CGCCUAGAUGAUGAGGAGAUGGUCUUAUUUAUUCUUGUAGGCCUCGACAUGGAGUACAACCCAUUAGUGUCGUUCAUUAUUGCAUGCACAGAUCAAAUGUAGUUGAGUGAUCUGUACGCUCAACUCCUCAGCUAUGAUC